CAGUAGCCGCGGUAAUACGUAGGUGGCAAGCGUUGUCCGGAAUUAUUGGGCGUAAAGGGCUCGCAGGCGGUUUCUUAAGUCUGAUGUGAAAGCCCCCGGCUCAACCGGGGAGGGUCAUUGGAAGCCGGGAAACUUGAGUGCAGAAGAGGAGAGUGGAAUUCCACGUGUAGCGGUGAAAUGCGUAGAGAUGUGGAGGAACACCAGUGGCGAAGGCGACUCUCUGGUCUGUAACUGACGCUGAGGAGCGAAAGCGUGGGGAGCGAACAGGAUUAGAUACCCGUGUAGUCCCUGUCUCUUAUAA
rnacentral:rRNA from 1 species